rnacentral:rRNA from 1 species
UUGAAGAGUUUGAUCAUGGCUCAGAUUGAACGCUGGCGGCAGGCCUAACACAUGCAAGUCGAGCGGUAGCACAGAAGAGCUUGCUCUUCGGGUGACGAGCGGCGGACGGGUGAGUAAUGUCUGGGAAACUGCCUGAUGGAGGGGGAUAACUACUGGAAACGGUAGCUAAUACCGCAUAACGUCUUCGGACCAAAGAGGGGGACCUUCGGGCCUCUUGCCAUCGGAUGUGCCCAGAUGGGAUUAGCUAGUAGGUGAGGUAAUGGCUCACCUAGGCGACGAUCCCUAGCUGGUCUGAGAGGAUGACCAGCCACACUGGAACUGAGACACGGUCCAGACUCCUACGGGAGGCAGCAGUGGGGAAUAUUGCACAAUGGGCGCAAGCCUGAUGCAGCCAUGCCGCGUGUGUGAAGAAGGCCUUCGGGUUGUAAAGCACUUUCAGCGGGGAGGAAGGCGAUAAGGUUAAUAACCUUGUCGAUUGACGUUACCCGCAGAAGAAGCACCGGCUAACUCCGUGCCAGCAGCCGCGGUAAUACGGAGGGUGCAAGCGUUAAUCGGAAUGACUGGGCGUAAAGCGCACGCAGGCGGUCUGUUAAGUUGGAUGUGAAAUCCCCGGGCUUAACCUGGGAACUGCAUUCAAAACUGACAGGCUAGAGUCUUGUAGAGGGGGGUAGAAUUCCAGGUGUAGCGGUGAAAUGCGUAGAGAUCUGGAGGAAUACCGGUGGCGAAGGCGGCCCCCUGGACAAAGACUGACGCUCAGGUGCGAAAGCGUGGGGAGCAAACAGGAUUAGAUACCCUGGUAGUCCACGCUGUAAACGAUGUCGACUUGGAGGUUGUGCCCUUGAGGCGUGGCUUCCGGAGCUAACGCGUUAAGUCGACCGCCUGGGGAGUACGGCCGCAAGGUUAAAACUCAAAUGAAUUGACGGGGGCCCGCACAAGCGGUGGAGCAUGUGGUUUAAUUCGAUGCAACGCGAAGAACCUUACCUACUCUUGACAUCCACAGAAUUUGGUAGAGAUACCUUAGUGCCUUCGGGAACUGUGAGACAGGUGCUGCAUGGCUGUCGUCAGCUCGUGUUGUGAAAUGUUGGGUUAAGUCCCGCAACGAGCGCAACCCUUAUCCUUUGUUGCCAGCAGAGUAAUGUCGGGAACUCAAAGGAGACUGCCGGUGAUAAACCGGAGGAAGGUGGGGAUGACGUCAAGUCAUCAUGGCCCUUACGAGUAGGGCUACACACGUGCUACAAUGGCGUAUACAAAGAGAAGCGAACUCGCGAGAGCAAGCGGACCUCAUAAAGUACGUCGUAGUCCGGAUUGGAGUCUGCAACUCGACUCCAUGAAGUCGGAAUCGCUAGUAAUCGUAGAUCAGAAUGCUACGGUGAAUACGUUCCCGGGCCUUGUACACACCGCCCGUCACACCAUGGGAGUGGGUUGCAAAAGAAGUAGGUAGCUUAACCUUCGGGAGGGCGCUUACCACUUUGUGAUUCAUGACUGGGGUGAAGUCGUAACAAGGUAACCGUAGGGGAACCUGCGGUUGGAUCACCUCCUU